GGGCCCAUAGCUCAGCUGGUAGAGCAACUGACUUUUAAUCAGUAGGUCGGAGGUUCGAAUCCUCCUGGGCUCA
rnacentral:tRNA from 1 species